GGUUAAGUGACUAAGCGUACACGGUGGAUGCCUUGGCAGUCAGAGGCGAUGAAAGACGUAGUAACUUGCGAUAAGCCCAGAUUAGGUAGUAACAACCAUUUGAGUCUGGGAUUUCUGAAUGGGGAAACCCACGUGCAUAAGCACGUAUCCUUACCUGAAUACAUAGGGUAAGGAGGCGAACCGGGGGAACUGAAACAUCUAAGUACCCCGAGGAAAAGAAAUCAACCGAGAUUCCGAAAGUAGCGGCGAGCGAAAUUGGACUAGCCCUUAAGCUUUACACGCGUUAGACGAACGGUCUGGAAAGUCCGACGAUACAGGGUGAUAGUCCCGUAGUUGACGACGUGUGUUCAGUGAAAUCGAGUAGGGCGGGACACGUGAUAUCCUGUCUGAAUAUGGGGGGACCAUCCUCCAAGGCUAAAUACUACUGACUGACCGAUAGUGAACCAGUACCGUGAGGGAAAGGCGAAAAGAACCCCUGUGAGGGGAGUGAAAUAGAACCUGAAACCGUGUACGUACAAGCAGUAGGAGCAGGCUUUGUCCUGUGACUGCGUACCUUUUGUAUAAUGGGUCAGCGACUUAUAUUCAGUGGCAAGGUUAACCAUCUAGGGGAGCCGUAGGGAAACCGAGUCUUAACUGGGCGUUCAGUCUCUGGAUAUAGACCCGAAACCAGGUGAUCUAGCCAUGGGCAGGUUGAAGGUUGAGUAACAUCAACUGGAGGACCGAACCGACUAAUGUUGAAAAAUUAGCGGAUGACUUGUGGCUAGGGGUGAAAGGCCAAUCAAACCUGGAGAUAGCUGGUUCUCCCCGAAAGCUAUUUAGGUAGCGCCUCGGACGAAUACUACUGGGGGUAGAGCACUGUUAAGGCUAGGGGGUCAUCCCGACUUACCAACCCUUUGCAAACUCCGAAUACCAGUAAGUACUAUCCGGGAGACACACGGCGGGUGCUAACGUCCGUCGUGGAGAGGGAAACAACCCAGACCGCCAGCUAAGGUCCCAAAUUACUACUAAGUGGGAAACGAUGUGGGAAGGCUCAGACAGCCAGGAUGUUGGCUUAGAAGCAGCCAUCAUUUAAAGAAAGCGUAAUAGCUCACUGGUCGAGUCGGCCUGCGCGGAAGAUGUAACGGGGCUAAGUAGUAAACCGAAGCUGCGGCAAUGCACUUUGUGCAUUGGGUAGGGGAGCGUUCUGUAAGCGGUUGAAGGUGUGUGGUAACGCAUGCUGGACGUAUCAGAAGUGCGAAUGCUGACAUGAGUAACGAUAAAGGGGGUGAAAAACCUCCUCGCCGGAAGACCAAGGGUUCCUGUCCAACGUUAAUCGGGGCAGGGUAAGUCGACCCCUAAGGCGAGGCCGAAAGGCGUAGUCGAUGGGAAACGGGUUAAUAUUCCCGUACUUCUUACAAUUGCGAUGGGGGGACGGAGAAGGCUAGGUGGGCCUGGCGACGGUUGUCCAGGUUCAAGUGCGUAGGCUUAAGAGUUAGGUAAAUCCGGCUCUUUCUAAGGCUGAGACACGACGUCGAGCACCUACGGGUGUGAAGUCAUUGAUGCCAUGCUUCCAGGAAAAGCCUCUAAGCUUCAGAUUGUAAGGAAUCGUACCCCAAACCGACACAGGUGGUCGGGUAGAGAAUACCAAGGCGCUUGAGAGAACUCGGGUGAAGGAACUAGGCAAAAUGGUACCGUAACUUCGGGAGAAGGUACGCUCU
rnacentral:rRNA from 1 species